UACGGAGGGGACUAGCGUUGUUCGGAAUUACUGGGCGUAAAGCGCACGUAGGCGGAUUUGUAAGUCAGGGGUGAAAUCCCGGGGGCUCAACCUCGGAACUGCCUUUGAUACUGCAAAUCUCGAGUCCGGAAGAGGUGAGUGGAAUUCCUAGUGUAGAGGUGAAAUUCGUAGAUAUUAGGAAGAACACCAGUCGCGAAGGCGGCUCACUGGUCCGGUACUGACGCUGAGGUGCGAAAGCGUGGGGAGCGAACAGG
rnacentral:rRNA from 1 species